UACCAGCCCCCUGAGUGGUAAGGAUGAUUAUUUGGCCUAAAGCGUUCGUAGCCGGCUUGGCAAGUCUUUUGUUAAAUCCAACGAUUCAAUCGUUGGGCCGCAAAAGAUACUGUUAUGCUAGAGGACGGGAGAGGUCGACGGUAGUCCAGGGGUAGGGGUGAAAUCCUAUAAUCCUUGGAGGACCACCAGUGGCGAAGGCGGUCGACUAGAACGUGCCUGACGGUGAGGGACGAAAGCUGGGGGAGCGAACCGGAUUAGAUACCCGGGUAGUCCCAGCUGUAAACGAUGCGGGCUAGGUGUUGGGGUAGCCACGAGCUGCCCCAGUGCCGCAGAGAAGUUGUUAAGCCCGCCGCCUGGGGAGUACGGCCGCAAGGCUGAAACUUAAAGGAAUUGGCGGGGGAACACCACAAGGGGUGAAGGCUGCGGUUU
rnacentral:rRNA from 1 species